rnacentral:tRNA from 1 species
UAAUAAUGAAAGAUUAAAAAUCUUCUUAAAUAAAUUUACAAUUUAUCACUUAAAUCAGCCACAUUAUC